rnacentral:rRNA from 1 species
AUUGAACGCUGGCGGCAGGCUUAACACAUGCAAGUCGAGCGGAGAUGAGGUGCUUGCACCUUAUCUUAGCGGCGGACGGGUGAGUAAUGCUUAGGAAUCUGCCUAUUAGUGGGGGACAACAUUCCGAAAGGAAUGCUAAUACCGCAUACGCCCUACGGGGGAAAGCAGGGGAUCUUCGGACCUUGCGCUAAUAGAUGAGCCUAAGUCGGAUUAGCUAGUUGGUGGGGUAAAGGCCUACCACGGCGACGAUCUGUAGCGGGUCUGAGAGGAUGAUCCGCCACACGUGGACUGGAACAGGGCCCAGACUCCUACGGGAGGCAGUAGUGGGGAGUAUUGGACAAUGGUCUGAAGCCUGAUCCGGCCAUGCCGCGUGUGUGAGGAAUGCCUUUUGUUUGUAAAUCACUUUAAGCGAGAAGGGGGCUACCUGGAUUAAUACUCUAGGAUAGUGGACGUUACUCGCAGAAUAAGCACCGGCUAACUCUGUGCCAGCAGCCGCCGUAACAC